UACGUAGGUGGCAAGCGUUGUCCGGAUUUACUGGGUGUAAAGGGUGCGUAGGCGGGUUGUUAAGUCAGUUGUGAAAGUUUGCGGCUCAACCGUAAAAUUGCAGUUGAUACUGGCGACCUUGAGUGCAACAGAGGUAGGCGGAAUUCGUGGUGUAGCGGUGAAAUGCUUAGAUAUCGGGAGGAACACCAGUGGCGAAGGCGGCCUACUGGGCACCAACUGACGCUGAGGCUCGAAAGUGUGGGUAGCAAACAGG
rnacentral:rRNA from 1 species